GGGUGUAUAGCUCAGUGGAAGAGCAUUCGGCGGCAAGAUCGAGAGGUCUCCGGUUCAAACCCGUGUGUCCU